AACGAACGCUGGCGGCAUGCUUAACACAUGCAAGUCGAACGAGAAGCUUGACUUCGGUCGAGUGGGCAGUGGCGCACGGGUGAGUAACGCGUAGAUAAUCUGCCCUAAGGUUUGGGAUAACUCUUCGAAAGGGGGGCUAAUACCGGAUAAGACAUUUAGACUAGUGUUUGAAUGUUGAAAGAUUUAUUGCCUUAGGAUGAGUCUGCGUAGCAUUAGCUAGUAGGUGGGGUAAAAGCCUACCUAGGCUACGAUGUUUAGCGGGUCUGAGAGGAUGAUCCGCCACACUGGAACUGAGACACGGUCCAG
rnacentral:rRNA from 1 species